GAUGGCCUUGCGGUGCAUUAGCUAGUUGGUGGGGUAACGGCCCACCAAGGCGACGAUGCAUAGCCGACCUGAGAGGGUGAUCGGCCACACUGGGACUGAGACACGGCCCAGACUCCUACGGGAGGCAGCAGUAGGGAAUCUUCCACAAUGGACGAAAGUCUGAUGGAGCAACGCCGCGUGAGUGAUGAAGGUUUUCGGAUCGUAAAACUCUGUUGUAAGGGAAGAACACGUACGAGAGGGAAUGCUCGUACCUUGACGGUACCUUACGAGAAAGCCACGGCUAACUACGUGCCAGCAGCCGCGGUAAUACGUAGGUGGCAAGCGUUGUCCGGAAUUAUUGGGCGUAAAGCGCGCGCAGGCGGCCUUUUAAGUCUGAUGUGAAAGCCCCCGGCUCAACCGGGGAGGGCCAUUGGAAACUGGAAGGCUUGAGUACAGAAGAGAAGAGUGGAAUUCCACGUGUAGCGGUGAAAUGCGUAGAGAUGUGGAGGAACACCAGUGGCGAAGGCGACUCUUUGGUCUGUAACUGACGCUGAGGCGCGAAAGCGUGGGGAGCAAACAG
rnacentral:rRNA from 1 species